rnacentral:misc_RNA from 1 species
GUGAAUCAUCAAAUCUUUGAACGCAAAUUGCACUAUCUGGUAUUCCGGUGAGUAUGCCUAUGUGAGGGUCAUUUGAAAUAAGAUAAAUGCCAAGAUUUCUCGGAAUUUAAAAUGGGUUGUCCAUUUUUUGUGUUGGCCUAAAAUGCAAGACAAGUUAAUUUCUUUGGUUGCGUGAUAUUUUCAGUUAUUUUGUUACUUCACAAGAAAUCUUCGAGCGUGUUAAGAAUUUUGC